CCUACGGGUGGCAGCAGUGAGGAAUAUUGGUCAAUGGACGAGAGUCUGAACCAGCCAAGUAGCGUGAAGGAUGACUGCCCUAUGGGUUGUAAACUUCUUUUAUAUGGGAAUAAAAUGUUCCACGUGUGGGAUUUUGUAUGUACCAUAUGAAUAAGGAUCGGCUCACUCCGUGCCAGCAGCCGCGGUAAUACGGAGGAUCCGAGCGUUAUCCGGAUUUAUUGGGUUUAAAGGGAGCGUAGGUGGAUUGUUAAGUCAGUUGUGAAAGUUUGGGGCUCAACCGGAAAAUUGCAGUUGAAACUGGCAGUCUUGAGUACAGUAGAGGUGGGCGGAAUUCGUGGUGUAGCGGUGAAAUGCUUAGAUAUCACGAAGAACUCCGAUGGCGAAGGCAGUUCACUGGACUGCAACUGACACUGAGGCUCGAAAGUGUGGGUAUCAAACAGGAUUAGAUACCCUGGUAGUC
rnacentral:rRNA from 1 species